UCCGAGAGCCGCUGCAGCCCCCGGGUUCGAGCGGGGCCCCACGAGGGCACGCCGCCACCCCGCGAGCGGGCCCCAAACGCCCGGCCCCUCGAUGCAGGCCGCGGGUCUCUGCCCGCGUCCCCCGACAGCAGAGAGAGGAGAGCGCGGAGUUCGCCCGGCGAGGCGGCUCCCCGCCCCGUCCCCUCGCAGCCGCUCCGUGUGCUUUUCCAAAGGAACGUUAAUGCCCCCGGGCUGUCCGCUGCUGCCUCCGCGUUGGCUGCCAGAUGGAUCCCGUUGCGUGCUCCUGGGAAAGCCCUAAGGCAACACUCAAGACUGCAGUGCUGGUGAAGUCCUAGUCUGGCAGAGCCUGAGCACCAUGCCGUGUCUUGUCUCAAGGUCCAUGCAAUGCUGCACGACUUCUUUCCAACAUCUGAAGGAAUCUCCUUUCCCAGCUGCCUUCAAAUCAGUUUGGCUCAUCGUUUCAAGCAGCUGUUUGUUUCUCAGUGUCUGUGGAACUGCCCCAGGAAAGUUCUUAGCAGGGUUCUGGCAGGCAAACAUCAAAACUAUUAUUAGCAUGGCAACUCACAGAAAACAAAUCUACAUCUGUGUGCCUUGUGACACCACGGGGAGUCACUGUCACCUCGUGACUUCACAACGGUGUGGAUGGGUAUAUAUAUAGAUGGCUCAGGGUAUAGAUACCCAGAGCGUUCUGCCCUCUUCCGAGUCCUGCUGACAACUCUUGAGACAUCAGUGCCUUCCCUGCGUGGAACAUGAGAUGUCGAGGCCUUGCCAGCUGUACGUGAGACGUCAAGGUCCUGCAAGUGGAUUGCAAGUGACCAAGGAUCCUGCUCAAGGAACACCAGAUGUCAGAGCUCCUGCCAGUGGCAGGAGAGAUGUCUGUAACUGGCAGCGACACGCAAGAGGUGCUGAGGCCCAGACACUGCUGACUGCUCUGUGAGAGGCAGCCUCCAGUGAGUCUGUUCUCUGAGCUCCUCCAUGCCAGGGCAGCCACAGCCAGGAGUCAGUCAGGAGGCAGCUGCCAACAUGAGCCAGCAGGUACAGGUGCAGUCGGUGGAGGGCCACGAGGAGGAGACGUAUCCCAUCUGUCUCUGCCCACUGGCGGACGCGGCUCAUGUUGUCCCCUUCAGGCUCACCUGCAGGGACUGCAUCCAGCGCUGGACCACCAGCAGGGCCCAUUGCCUCCCUCCUGAGCCUCAUGCCAUGCCCCCCAAAGGACUCCUUGACCCACCAGCCCUGGGGAAGGAUCCAGUGCUGGGAAAGAACAUCUCCCCAUUGGUCCUGCAGUGUCUCACCCAGGCACAAGAAGCACAGCGUCUCCAGAUGCUCCCAUCAGGGAGAACACAGCCUCUCCUGGCACCGGGAGCCCAAUGAGCACCGCUGGGUCCGGCCACCACAGGACACUGAGGAGGGGAAUGGCUGAGCAGGUCCCACAGGAGCAGCUGGAUGGCAAAGAGCACACAGCACUGCACUCAGCCCUACUGCUGAGUGGGCAGCACAACCUCACCUGGGCUGUGUGAGGAGCGCUGCCAGCAGCUCGAGGUCAUCGUUCCAUUCCCCUCUGCUCAGCUCUGGUGAGACCACAGUGUCCAGGUGUGGGCUCCCCAGUAACACACAGACCCGGACACAUUGGAGAGAGCCCAGAGAAUGGCCACCAAGGUGCUGGGAGGAUGGGAGCAUCUCUGCUAUUAGGAGCUGGGGUGGUUGGAUGCUGGGAUAGUCCUCCAGCCGGAGAGAAAAUUCCAGGAAGUCUUGUCAUUGUCAAUAAAUUGUGGAACGUCC
rnacentral:lncRNA from 7 species